CCUGCAGAACUGCUGGCGCCCUAUACCGGUGAUGUGGCGGCAGAGGGGAUCAGCAAAGCGCUGCGCGGUGGGGCGAAGUUCAUUCAGCACGGGCUGGCACGCCAGCAGCGCUAUGUGGCGGAAACCCUGACUGAAGAGUGGCGACUGGCUCCCGGCGCGCUGGAAGUGGCCUGGUUUGCGGAAGAAACAACGGCCGUUGAGCGUGAUAUUGCCGCGCUGACGAAACGGUUGGAAAAACUGGAGGGGAAAUGA
rfam:Kluyvera ascorbata ATCC 33433 GKAS.assembly.040, whole genome shotgun sequence.